GGCCUCGUAGCUCAGUCAACUAGAGCGUUGGCUCUCCUAAAGCCAUCAUCUUACUGGCGUGGGUUCGAAUCUCACCGAAGCUG
rnacentral:tRNA from 1 species